UUGAACGCUGGCGGCAGGCCUAACACAUGCAAGUCGAGCGGAUGAAGGGAGCUUGCUCCUGGAUUCAGCGGCGGACGGGUGAGUAAUGCCUAGGAAUCUGCCUGGUAGUGGGGGAUAACGUCCGGAAACGGGCGCUAAUACCGCAUACGUCCUGAGGGAGAAAGUGGGGGAUCUUCGGACCUCACGCUAUCAGAUGAGCCUAGGUCGGAUUAGCUAGUUGGUGGGGUAAAGGCCUACCAAGGCGACGAUCCGUAACUGGUCUGAGAGGAUGAUCAGUCACACUGGAACUGAGACACGGUCCAGACUCCUACGGGAGGCAGCAGUGGGGAAUAUUGGACGAUGGACGAAAGCCUAAUCCAGCCAUGCCGCGUGUGUGAAGAAGGUCUUCGGAUUGUAAAGCACUUUAAGUUGGGAGGAAGGGCAGUAAGUUAAUACCUUGCUGUUUUGACGUUACCAACAGAAUAAGCACCGGCUAACUUCGUG
rnacentral:rRNA from 1 species